UACGAAGGGGGCUAGCGUUGCUCGGAUUGACUGGGCGUAAAGGGCGCGUAGGCGGUUCGUACAGUCAGACGUGAAAUUCCUGGGCUCAACCUGGGGGCUGCGUUUGAUACGUGCGGACUUGAGUGCGGAAGAGGGUCGUGGAAUUCCCAGUGUAAAGGUGAAAUUCGUAGAUAUUGGGAAGAACACCGGUGGCGAAGGCGGCGACCUGGUCCGAUACUGACGCUGAGGCGCGAAAGCGUGGGGAGCAAACAGG
rnacentral:rRNA from 1 species